rnacentral:rRNA from 1 species
GUGGGGAAUCUUGCGCAAUGGGCGAAAGCCUGACGCAGCCAUGCUGCGUGAAUGAUGAAGGUCUUAGGAUUGUAAAAUUCUUUCACCGGGGACGAUAAUGACGGUACCCGGAGAAGAAGCCCCGGCUAACUUCGUGCCAGCAGCCGCGGUAAUACGAAGGGGGCUAGCGUUGCUCGGAAUUACUGGGCGUAAAGGGCGCGUAGGCGGACAGUUUAGUCAGAGGUGAAAGCCCAGGGCUCAACCUUGGAAUUGCCUUUGAUACUGGCUGUCUUGAGUACGGGAGAGGUGAGUGGAACUCCGAGUGUAGAGGUGAAAUUCGUAGAUAUUCGGAAGAACACCAGUGGCGAAGGCGACUCACUGGCCCGUUACUGACGCUGAGGCGCGAAAGCGUGGGGAGCAAACAGGAUUAGAUACCCCAGUAGUCC